AGGAGCCACAGUAAGUCCUCUCACUCCGUCUCAGACUGGAACCAGUCUUCUAGGUUUGUUGUGAUCCAGACCGUUUGAGCUAUUAGGAUCAAACUGACCGAGAAAAGUAAACAUCAUGAUCCUCAUCGUCUGCUUCAUCUGUCACGUUUUGCUUGUUUCAGGUUCUUCUCUAAGUGACCAAGUCCACCAGACUCCUUCUGAAAAGUUCUGCAAAACCGGAGAUAAACCCCAAAUCAGCUGCAGGCAUGAAAUUCAGGACUACACCCGGAUCUUCUGGUACAAACAGUCGACGGACCACCAGAUGCAGCUCCUGGGGUACAUGAACGUCAACGACGGCAAGCCAGAGACAGGAUUCUCUGCCAGGACGUCGCUCAGGACCCAACAAUCAGCUGGAGCUUUAUGUCCAAGUCCGCAGAGAUGAAAUGCAGCCACAAAAAAGAUAUCUCUUAUAACCAGAUGUACUGGUACCGGCAGCGGCCGGGGGAGGCCAUGACUCUCGUCGUGUACACAAUGUUCGGUGGGAAGGCAGACUACGGAGAGAACCUGCAGAGCAAAUACUCGGCAGUCAAAGACACAGCAGAGACCGGAGCUCUGACUGUGAAGGACCUGCAGCCUGAAGACAGCGGCGUUUAUUUCUGUGCCGUCGGCAAAACACAGUGAUGUGAGGAAACACAACAGCUGAACAAAAACCCGACUGCCAAUAAAACAGAGAUCAUCAGAAACCGACGUUGUGCACUGUUGUGACUCUCCAGUAGGUGGCAGUGAGGCUCAAUAAAUGAGCAGCCUGAACUAUACUAAAGACAAUUACCUUUACAAACACAGACUCUCAAU